rnacentral:rRNA from 1 species
CCUACGGGCGGCAGCAGUGAGGAAUAUUGGUCAAUGGACGAGAGUCUGAACCAGCCAAGUAGCGUGAAGGAUGACUGCCCUAUGGGUUGUAAACUUCUUUUAUAAAGGAAUAAAACGAGCCACGUGUGCCUUUUUGCAUGUACUUUAUGAAUAAGGAUCGGCUAACUCCGUGCCAGCAGCCGCGGUAAUACGGAGGAUCCGAGCGUUAUCCGGAUUUAUUGGGUUUAAAGGGAGCGUAGAUGGGUUGUUAAGUCAGUUGUGAAAGUUUGCGGCUCAACCGUAAAAUUGCAAUUGAUACUGGCAGUCUUGAGUACAGUUGAGGUAAGCGGAAUUCGUGGUGUAGCGGUGAAAUGCUUAGAUAUCACGAAGAACCCCGAUUGCGAAGGCAGCUUACUAAACUGUGACUGACAUUGAUGCUCGAAAGCGUGGGUAGCAAACAGGAUUAGAUACCCUUGUAGUC